GUCUUGUUGUAUGUGAGCUUUGUAGAGAUUUUUAAAAAUAUAAGCAUCACCUUCACAUUGAAGAGUGGAGAGAGUCUACUGGAUGACUGGCCAGGAACUUUCUCUCUGAAUCGGACAUUUGGAUGUCUUCUUUCUUCCAAGAAAUGGUGGUUCACAUUAAAGUAUCAUGGCCUUAUGUAUGCUCAAAUGGAAUCUUAUGUAACUUUCUUAUUUAAUUUUGGUCUGCU
rnacentral:lncRNA from 1 species